ACUUGAAGGAUCCACUCAAGAGUCUCAGAUAACAUAGGCAGGUACUAUAGGAAGAUACCUCGGUGAAAUUAAGACGCCAUGAUAAAGACGGGGACGCUCCUUGUAUUUCUUCUGGCUUUCGCCUACGGACAUAUAUUUACAUAUCAUCCAAGGUGCCCCGAGGCGGAGGAACAAAAGUGCAUAGCGAAAAAUAACUAUUUAGGCUGCCUCAGUAAAGGUUCUCAUGAAAUCGUCAGGGUGUGCCUUAGCUGGUCUACAAAAUGCAAGGAGUAUUUUCUAAGAUACGGCAGCAACGUUACGAGCACCUUGUUCUGCUACCAGAAAGGUCCUCUGUGCAGCUGCCUAUGCUGUCGGCACUCAGGAAAAGGCAAUGCUAUAGCUUGUAAAGGAAGAGCCGGAAUCCAAUAACUUUUUUGUCAUGGCUUCAGUGU